rnacentral:rRNA from 1 species
UCCAGACUCCUACGGGAGGCAGCAGUGGGGGAUAUUGCACAAUGGGGGGAACCCUGAUGCAGCGACGCCGCGUGGGUGAAGGAGUAUUUCGGUAUGUAAAGCCCUAUCGGCAGGGAAGAAGGAGGACGGUACCCGACUAAGAAGCCCCGGCUAACUACGUGCCAGCAGCCGCGGUAAUACGUAGGGGGCAAGCGUUAUCCGGAUUUACUGGGUGUAAAGGGGGCGCAGACGGCAGCGCAAGCCAGGAGUGAAAGCCCGGGGCCCAACCCCGGGACUGCUCUUGGAACUGCGCGGCUGGAGUGCAGGAGGGGCAGGCGGAAUUCCUGGUGUAGCGGUGAAAUGCGUAGAUAUUAGGAGGAACACCAGUGGCGAAGGCGGCCUGCUGGACGGUAACUGACGCUGAGGCUCGAAAGCGUGGGGAGCAAACAGGAUUAGAUACCCCCGUAGU